rnacentral:lncRNA from 1 species
GUCCCAACUGUCAUUUUAGAUUCUGCACCAGAAGGAGACAGCGGCUUGAAAAAUAAAUCAGCCAACCAUCUUGAGAGUGAAUGUAACAGCUUAUUUUCUAAACUGAGUGAACUGGAGUAGAACUCACAGGCUUGCCUGCUUCUUCCUUGGAAUUGCAAAUCGCAUUAGAGAAGCUGCCCAGAAUGUCAGACUGCAAAGAAGAAAAAGGAUGACAAUCCCAUUUUCCUAUUAAUAGAAGAGGAGACUGGGCCCAGGCUGUGCAGAAACAGCAAGAGCAGCUGUAGUCACAGAUUGCUGGCUUCCAACUUGGGCCAUGAAACUUACCAGCUGGGUGACCCUCGUGAUUCUGUUAGCCCCUCUGUCAUGGAUUCCCCUUAUAACAUGGAAUACCUGCUGGGCCUUCCUCAUCUUGAAGGAACUAAUUCAUAUCUGUGGGUUGUAACUGGAAAACAUGUACUUUGCAUAAAGAGAAUGGCAGAGCACCAACGUGCAAAUGAAAACAUGCAGUUCCAUUCAACAUCAGGCCUGCACUCCAUCAUACGAAGCUGAGGGACAGCUCUUGCCUUGGCUGCCUCUUCAAGUCUCUUCUGAAAAUUGUAUGGGUGACCCUUCAUAAAGCAUUUCAGAUGCAACUCAGCCACAGCCCUGGGAAGAAAAUGGUGGCAGGAAAGUCAAAGGAAGCUCUGCUAAAGAAAACAGGAGGCCAGAAUGGGGAUGCACAUCUGUGAUCCCCAGCUCAUGGGAAGCUGAGGCCUGAACUACCUGAGAGAAUUUAUCACAUACACAGAAACAGAAGAAAACUGUGGGGGCAGGAGGCUCAGCCCCAAAAGCAGGAUUUGUACACAUCUCAGGCUCUUCUGGGCACCGGAGCUUUUCUCGAUUUGCCUACAGGCAUCCAGAUAAUUGGGUUGUACCCAUUGUGUCAAGAAGUGCAUCAACCCUUUAUCAGACUGGACUUUCUGAUGCUUCACUGUGAGCUUGUGCACUUACUCUCAUCUUCCACCAGUCUUGUAGACUUGACAUUCUUUUCUAACUUCAAUGGGAGUUUCUCUUUGAACAACUUUAAUUACCUUGUCUAAUUAAGCUCGUUUCGAUGUGUAAGCCACCACUCUGUCUUACAGCCCUUCCGUCCUCAGACUCCAAAUAAAGCUCUUUGUUC